rnacentral:rRNA from 1 species
UGAAGCGGCAACAGCUCAAAUUUGAAAUCUGGCUUCGGGCCCGAGUUGUAAUUUGUAGAGGAAGCUUUUGGUGAGGCACCUUCUGAGUCCCCUGGAACGGGGCGCCAUAGAGGGUGAGAGCCCCGUAUAGUCGGAUGCCGAUCCAAUGUAAAGCUCCUUCGACGAAGUCGAGGUAGUUUUGGGAAUGCUGCUCAAAAUGGGAGGUAAAAUUUCUUCUAAAGCUAAAUACCGGCCAGAAGACCGAUAGCGCACAAGUAGAGUGAUCGAAAGAUGAAAAGCACUUUGAAAAGAGGGUUAAAUAGCACGUGAAAUUGUUGAAAGGGAAGCGUUUGUGACCAGACUUGCGCCGUUCCGAUCAUCCGGUGUUCUCACCGGUGCACUCGGGACGGCUCAGGCCAGCAUCGGUUUUGCGGGGGGACAAAGGUCCUGGGAACGUAGCUCCUCCGGGAGUGUUAUAGCCCAGGGCGUAAUGCCCUCGCCGGGACCGAGGUUCGCGCAUC